rnacentral:lncRNA from 1 species
AGAAUCAGAAAUACAGUAGAGAGAAUCAGUGAAAAACAGAGAAAAAAGACAGCAGUGCAGCAACCUGGUUUUUCUUCCGGAUCGGAGGUCAAACGGAGUCUGUUCGUCCUCAAAUUUUAGUAUGUUGUUCGUGAGACUCUCCUCUACAAGUACACGAAACAGUUUUUCAUUUUGAGGCCCGGAAGGUCGGUUUUUGCUGCGUUUUUUACANN